rnacentral:rRNA from 1 species
CGCGAUUCGCCCUUCGGGGUGCAGCAGGCGCGAAAACUUUGCAUACACGAAAGUGUGACAGGGCUAUCCCGAGUGCCAUCCGCUGAGGAAGGCUUUUACCCAGUCUAGAACGCUGGGGGAAUAAGGAGAGGGCAAGUCUGGUGUCAGCCGCCGCGGUAAUACCAGCUCUCCGAGUGGUGUGGAUGUUUAUUGGGCCUAAAGCAUCCGUAGCUGGCUAAGUUAGUCCCUUGUUAAAUCCACCGAAUUAAUCGUUGGAUUGCGGGGGAUACUGCUUGGCUAGGGGACGAGAGAGGCAGACGGUAUUUCCGGGGUAGGGGUGAAAUCCUAUAAUCCCGGGAAGACCACCAGUGGCGAAGGCUGUCUGCUAGAACGCGCCCGACGGUGAGGGAUGAAAGCUGGGGGAGCGAACCGGAUUAGAUACCCGGGUAGUCCCAGCUGUAAACGAUGCAGGCUAGGUGUUUGGACGGCCACGUGCCGUUCUAGUGCCGCAGGGAAGCUGUUAAGCCUGCCGCCUGGGGAGUACGAUCGCAAGAUUGAAACUUAAAGGAAUUGGCGGGGGAGCAC